UAGUGCUCUACUUCUCUAAUUGCUAUCUAAUCAAACCUCUAAACUUGAAGGAUUAGGGAGUAGCUAAUUCUAAUUCUCUGUGGGAGAGAAGCUCUAAACCCUAACUUUGAUGGCUACCUCUGAAUAAUGAUUUCUCCUCCUCUCUUCUCUCCCCUAGGGGUGGAGAGGCCUUGGUUAUAUAGUCCUUUCAAGUGAAUUUGGGCCGUUGGAUCAAACUGACAUUGAUUCUAUGGUUUAGAUUCAUUCUUUAGGUCAGUGGAGCGUAGUCCCGAAAGAGAGUCCUGAUUGGACUCUAACCCUGGGCGGGCGCCCAAGGGGGGUGGGCGGGCGCCCUGCCCUCGAGCCCGAUCAUCUUCUCAUUCGUUCCCGUGGCUUCU
rnacentral:lncRNA from 1 species